AGCAGCAGCCACGGUAAUACGUAGGGUGCGAGCGUUAAUCGGAAUUACUGGGCGUAAAGCGUGCGCAGGCGGUUGUGUAAGACAGGUGUGAAAUCCCCGGGCUUAACCUGGGAACUGCGCUUGUGACUGCACAGCUAGAGUAUGGCAGAGGGGGGUGGAAUUCCACGUGUAGCAGUGAAAUGCGUAGAUAUCAGUCGGAACACCCAUGGCGAAGGCAGCUGCCUGGCCUAAUACUGACGCUGAGGUGCGAAAGCGUGGGGAGCGAACGGGAUUAGAUACCCCAGUAGUCCCUGUCUCUUAUAC
rnacentral:rRNA from 1 species